rnacentral:rRNA from 1 species
UACGUAGGUGGCAGGCGUUAUCCGGAAUUACUGGGUGUAAAGGGAGCGUAGACGGUGAUGUAAGUCUGGAGUGAAAGGCGGGGGCCCAACCCCCGGACUGCUCUGGAAACUAUGUGACUGGAGUGCAGGAGAGGUGAGCGGAAUUCCUAGUGUAGCGGUGAAAUGCGUAGAUAUUAGGAGGAACACCAGUGGCGAAGGCGGCUCACUGGACUGUAACUGACGUUGAGGCUCGAAAGCGUGGGGAGCAAACAGG